CCUCUGCUCCUUCAUUAUCGCUCCACUUGUCUAGUUCUUCUCAUCAAUUUUCUUUGCUCACUGUCGGCUGCGUCUCUUUGCUGCUGUUGCCUAACUCUCCGUUCUUCUUUCUGCCUAAUUUCAUAUGUUACAAUAAGGAUGGGUUGCUUGAUGCUUUUUCCCCUGCCAUCGUUUUUAGCUUCAUGUUAGCUUGAGUGGCCGACCGUGGUGGUGCGUACGUUUGAUUCCUAUAUGCCCUUCCUCAUAAACUGUUGGCUUCGUGUGUUUGCUUGAUCUUCCUCUUCACUCUUCCUUCCUAUUCAGCUAGUGGGUGUCGUGUGAUUGGGAUGGAACGACAAUCUAAGGCAUAACGCACAAGCACAAAUGAGAUUGGACUCACUGUGCCACACACCGCGGUGGAAGCUAUGUGCAUCACAGCGUAUUGUCUAGGGAUUAUUUAAAGCUGAUAUGAUCAACUUGUGAAAUUAAAAGAUAAACUGUUGGAAAUGCAUCUAAAAGGGAAGAGGAGUACAUCUCUACUAGGGCAAGCCUUAUCUAACUAUUGGGAAUCUGCUUCGAUUAGUAAUUUGUUAGGUGAAGAGAGCAUAAGAAGGCUAGGAAAGAAAUCGAAGAAAGAGUAGCCUCACUUGAUAAUGGUAUGACUACCAUUCAUAUAAAUGAAUGUAUAAUGAGUUGUGAUAGUAGAGUUUCCAACUAGAAUAUAUAAGUGAAUGUGUAUAUGAAUUGCGUCGUGAAUCUUGCUUGUAUAUAUACAUAUGAUGUGCAUCUCACCGAGAGUGCCCUAGUGAAGGGUACAUGGGUAGGCCUAGAUGCUAUUCAAGCAAGUCUGUUUUGUUAUGUAACUUGUUCCACUUGUAUAUAUUUGAACUAAUGUGAUGAUUAUGUAUUGAUUAUGAGUUGCGUUGCUA